rnacentral:rRNA from 1 species
CUACGGGGCGCACCAGUGGGGAAUAUUGCACAAUGGGCGCAAGCCUGAUGCAGCAACGCCGCGUGAGCGAUGAAGGCCUUCGGGUCGUAAAGCUCUGUCCUCAAGGAAGAAUUUUGACGGUACUUGAGGAGGAAGCCCCGGCUAACUACGUGCCAGCAGCCGCGGUAAUACGUAGGGGGCUAGCGUUAUCCGGAAUUACUGGGCGUAAAGGGUGCGUAGGUGGUCUGACAAGUCAGGGGUGAAAGGCUACGGCUGAACCGUAGUAAGCCCUUGAAACUGUCGGACUUGAGUGCAGGAGAGGAAAGUGGAAUUCCCAGUGUAGCGGUGAAAUGCGUAGAUAUUGGGAGGAACAUCAGUGGCGAAGGCGACUUUCUGGACUGUAACUGACACUGAGGCACGAAAGCGUGGGGAGCAAACAGGAUUAGAUACCCUUGUAGUC